CCUACGGGGGGCAGCAGUGGGGGAUAUUGCACAAUGGGGGAAACCCUGAUGCAGCGACGCCGCGUGGAGGAAGAAGGUUUUCGGAUUGUAAACUCCUGUCGUUAGGGACGAUAAUGACGGUACCUAACAAGAAAGCACCGGCUAACUACGUGCCAGCAGCCGCGGUAAAACGUAGGGUGCAAGCGUUGUCCGGAAUUACUGGGUGUAAAGGGAGCGCAGGCGGACCGGCAAGUUGGAAGUGAAAACUAUGGGCUCAACCCAUAAAUUGCUUUCAAAACUGCUGGCCUUGAGUAGUGCAGAGGUAGGUGGAAUUCCCGGUGUAGCGGUGGAAUGCGUAGAUAUCGGGAGGAACACCAGUGGCGAAGGCGACCUACUGGGCACCAACUGACGCUGAGGCUCGAAAGCAUGGGUAGCAAACAGGAUUAGAUACCCCAGUAGUC
rnacentral:rRNA from 1 species